UUGUGGCUUUGGGUGUUAGAGUGUGUGUGUGCGCGCGCGCUUGCUAGAUGUCAAAUUUCUGAAGGAAAAAAGUUGUGAUCCUUCCUGGCGAGUGUGAUCAAACACCCCCUUCAUCGAUAGCUCUUGGACGAGAGUGGGUCAAGGAGUUCUGGGUUUUCGCGUUGUGAAUAAUGGUCGUGUCGUUUGCAUGGGAGCUGGAAUGUGGGAUUUGUUAUUGCUUAGUUUGUCCGGAGGGCAGAGUUUGUUGAAAUCUGAUUGGAGAACUGGGUCUGAUUGUUGUACAUCAUUGUGCCUUUAUUUCGGAGACAGCAUUCUCCUACAGUGGACCUUGUUGUGGUGUGGAGAGCGAGUUUUUAGAUCCGCGUGAAGCGUUCGACCGUGUCGCAGGACACAAUUGCUCAACCCAAUCUCGCCUCUCGUCGAUUGUGGAUUAAUUUCCUCUCCUGAAGCAGUUGUCAUCUGCUAUGUGCUGGAAGGUUCAGUAGCCUUGAACUCUUGCAUUGAAAUCUCUCUCGAGCGUCAGACACGUUCAACAUCCGAAGCAUGAAGAAGUUUACGUAGCAUUAAAUCCUCUGCGAAACUCCGGAAGGAGGUUUUUGAACAGCUCACAAUCAAUAAAUUCUUGACGAGCUUGUUGUUUAAUCCCCUUCAUUGCCUACAUCAGCGACAGAAUUCAAUACGACUAUGUGUGUGAGAUGUGUACAACACAUACAAAACUGUGCGCACGCGGCGUUAAUCCUACCCUUGCCACAUCUGCUACAGUUGUGCAUUUGUUGAACAUAAAUUUCUAUCCUAGAGCAACCCUAAGGCUCUUGUAUAUUUUCACAGUAAGUUGACUUCAUUUGCUUGUGUUUGCUUCUUCUUA